ACGAACGCUGGCGGCAUGCCUAAUACAUGCAAGUCGAACGAGAUCUUCGGAUCUAGUGGCGCACGGGUGCGUAACGCGUGGGAAUCUGCCCUUGGGUUCGGAAUAACAGUUGGAAACGACUGCUAAUACCGGAUGAUGACGUAAGUCCAAAGAUUUAUCGCCCAGGGAUGAGCCCGCGUAGGAUUAGCUAGUUGGUGGGGUAAAGGCCUACCAAGGCGACGAUCCUUAGCUGGUCUGAGAGGAUGAUCAGCCACACUGGGACUGAGACACGGCCCAGACUCCUACGGGAGGCAGCAGUAGGGAAUAUUGGACAAUGGGGGCAACCCUGAUCCAGCAAUGCCGCGUGAGUGAUGAAGGCCUUAGGGUUGUAAAGCUCUUUUACCCGAGAUGAUAAUGACAGUAUCGGGAGAAUAAGCCCCGGCUAACUCCGU
rnacentral:rRNA from 1 species